rnacentral:rRNA from 1 species
AGUAACACGUGGGCAACCUGCCUAUGAGACUGGGAUAACUCCGGGAAACCGGGGCUAAUACCAGAUAAUUUUUCUCUACACAUGUAGAAAAGCUGAAAGAUGGUUUCGGCUAUCACUCAUAGAUGGGCCCGCGGCGCAUUAGCUAGUUGGUGAGGUAACGGCUCACCAAGGCGACGAUGCGUAGCCGACCUGAGGGGGUGAUCGGCCACACUGGGACUGAGACACGGCCCAG